ensembl:snoRNA
GUUGUGGUUUAUGAUGCUCAAUCUUUUUUCCCCGUCAUAUCGACCAUGGUGAUUGAUUCGAAAAUAGGCCAAAUCUUAUCUGAAACCACAC